CAAAGGAAUUGACGGGGCCGCACAAGCGGUGGAGCAUGUGGUUAAUUCGACGCAACGCGAAGAACCUUACCUGGGCUUGACAUCCCGAUCGCACCUUAUGGAAACAUAGGGGUCAGUUUGGCUGGAUCGGUGACAGGUGCUGCAUGGCUGUCGUCAGCUCGUGUCGUGAGAUGUUGGGUUAAGUCCCGCAACGAGCGCAACCCUUGUCCUUAGUUGCCAGCAUUCAGUUGGGCACUCUAAGGAGACUGCCGGUGUCAAACCGGAGGAAGGUGGGGAUGACGUCAAGUCCUCAUGGCCCUUAUGUCCAGGGCUACACACGUGCUACAAUGGCCGGUACAAAGGGGCGCAAGACCGCGAGGUGGAGCAAAUCCCAAAAAACCGGUCUCAGUUCGGAUUGGAGUCUGCAACUCGACUCCAUGAAGUUGGAAUCGCUAGUAAUCGCGUAUCAGCAUGCCCGCGGUCGAAUACGUUCCGGGCCUU
rnacentral:rRNA from 1 species